GAAUCUCUUUGACUUCUCGAAUCAAUAUGUAAUAGAACGCUUUGUGAAAUGAGAGAAAGAGAAAGAGAAUGUCUUAAUGAUCGCUAGGAAAAUCUACAGGGAAAUGAGUUUGUAGAUGGACGAAUCAUAAUGACAAAGGAUGGGAUAACUGGAUCCACUGAAAAUUGUUUGUGGUUGACGCAUCGAACAAAUCAACAAAUCAUUAAUCUACAUAGUAUUUUUCGUUCAUCAUCUCCAUAUAAUACUCUUCUCCUUUUCCUCUUUGUAUAUAUGUACACAUGAGCCGCGAAACCACGAACCAUCGAUGGCGAAUACAGAAAGAGAGAAAGAGAAAGAGAGACAGAGGCAUACACAUACACAGAAUAGAAGAGAAAGCCAUGAAAGUACGCCGAGAU